rnacentral:lncRNA from 1 species
GGGCAAUAUAAUAUGAUCAGUUGCCCGAGUGGAAAAAGUUUCAAGAAAAAAUUUGAUUUGAUUGUAAGCUAUGGGUUUCCGGAGAAAUUAAAGUGUGAUUAUGUUUAGGGGGUAAGCUUCUUCUUAUGACCUCCAAGGAGAAGUUGAAGACAGGAAUUCAAUUCUUCUUGAACAUAAUGGGGUUUAAGAGGGAAAUUUUUGCUGAGAACCUGUCUGCUUGACCUACAGUUUUGAAGAUAGAAUCUUUCCUUGUUACAGGGUUUUGCAGGUUUUGAGGUCGAAAAGUUGUAGCAGAGAGGACUUGAGUUUUAAUGAGGUGGUGCUUUUGACAGAAAAGGAGUUCGUGUAGAAGUUUAUAUCGAGGUCUUGAGAUAGUGCGGAGGAAUUGUUGGUAUGCUACAAAUCUCGUCUUUUGGAUUUAUCUUCUUCUUCUUCUGAGAAGGAAGACUCCUUACUGACACUACUCUCUACGCCCUUCAACUCUAAUAUGCAUCCUUAUUCUGCGGUAAUGUCAUUCUUGGACGUAAACUUAAAAUUGAACGGUUAGUAUCAAUUUUAAUGUUUGUUGGUUUUGUGUUUUGUUAUUACCGGUGAUUAAGUUGGUAUGUUUAUUUAUUUGCAUCAAUCCUAUAGGUAUUGUUUCGGUUGUUGCUGUAACUUUUUUGUUUGUUGAACAUGAAAUUUGAAGGAAAUAUGAGAAAUGUGUGAAAGAUAGUGAGGCAUCUGUUGCCCAGUUUUCUUUUCCUGCUCAUUUUUUAUUUUUUUCCUUUUUGCCAGUUUUCUUUUAUAAUUUCACCCUGCCUCAUGUAAUCGUUACUCACAAUUGGUUGGUGAGGUAAUAAGGGAAUUUAUGCUGGUUGAUGUGUGACCUUGGCAUGCAUGCAAACUUAUACUUGGACAAUCCAUCAAUACUUGCGGUAAAUGAAUACCCAAUUUGAACAGUCUAUCAAAGUGCAUGUUGGUGUGCCUUGACCACUUUUUUUUUGCAUUGGAUGUUAUUACAUGAGUUCUUUUCUUGCUUUUCAUUGAUCACCUACAUUAUCCAGUGUGUUUGCGUCCUACAUUGACUCUAUCUAAUAGGAUAUAGGAAACUCCAAAGUGUGUGAGUUGAUUUGCAUGUAUUCUGUGUUACUGGAAAAUCUGCCUGUGCAGUGGCUAAUAUGCCUUUAGGCCUUUUGGUUGCUGGUUGAUUAUGUUUUGGACUGUUAGAAUGCAUGCUUAAUAGCUCACUUUUUGUUCCUAGGAAAGCAAGAGCAUGCAAAAAAAGCCAGGCGAAAGACUGUUUAAUGAUACUUAAUUUGCUGGAAGAUUUGUUUUCUAAAAAGAACCUCUUUCUUGGUUGUUGAUCUGUUCUAACAAUUCCUUCUCAUUUGGCUGUUUGGUGGAUAUUAAAUGGCAUUUUUCAGCUUGCUACCUCAACCAUUAUAUGGUUUGUUUAACUUUUUGCAAUGUGUUAUUCUGAUUUUUUUCUUUCCUUUCCAAAUUUAUCACUAUUUUUCUUUGUAUUGUAUCGUUGAGAUAGAAUUGUCCAUUGAAUCCUAUUGCAUCUAUCUCCCCUUUUCUCUUUCUCUUUUUAUCUCUGAUGUCAUCGACUUGGAAUUUCUCCAAAUCUCAAGAAGAGUAUCUGAUUUGGUUCUUUCGUGUGCUGCUAUCACUCCUCUCUCUCUCUUUCCUGCAUUGGCUGUUUCAUUUUGAUUCCCUUCGUAUAUUUGUUUGAUUGAGACUGCAGGUGCCUGAUCUUGAAUUUUUUUUUUCUUUUUAGAUUUAUCAUCCCCCGUCAUAACGUUUAUCUCCCUUUUUAUCUCUCUCUUUUCCUAUUGGAUGUCAUCAAGUUCGAGUUGCUCCACAUCUCAAGAACAGUCUCUGAUUCGGAUGUAUAACAUGUCGUUAACACUUCUUGCUUUCCCCUUCCUUCGUUGACUGUUUCUUUAUGAUUCCUCUCAUAUCUUUUCUUGGUCAAGACCGUAGGUACACGGACCAUGCAUCUUUAUUUUUUUUCCCGUAUUUAUAAAUAUUUUGUUUUGUUUUUGUAUUAUUGAGAUGGAAUUGUUUGUUGAAUUCUAAUGUAUCUACCUCCAAAAAUUUUCUCAAGUAGGCUUUAUUUCCUGUGUUGGCUGUUUUGUUUUGAUUCGUUUCAUAUUUUCUCUUGAUCAAGUCUGCAGGUUCUUUUUCUUUUCUUUUCAUAUAUUCUUUUAUCUCUGAAGUUAAAACAUCAAGCAAGCGUUCUAUCAAAAUUCGAGGUUAAGACUUUAAAUUUCUAGAGCUAAGCUAGAAGAGGAAUUCAGAUAAGUGAAGCAACAGCUUCUUUCUCUUUCCUUCUUGUGUUUGCUGUCAUCAAUUUUUUCUUUCAGAUUCUUAUACCAUAUUCCUUGCUUGUACCCAUACAACACUUUGUAGGUACCCUGUUUUUAGUAAACUAUGGUUUGAAUUAUUCUGUUAGUUAUUACAAUGUUGCCUCUGACUAUUGUGUUUGAAUUGCGCGCCACAAUAUUGGUUUUCAUCAUAUAGCUAUUAAUUGAUUGUGUAGUUCCUGAAAAAGUUUGAUAUAUGAUUUAAGAAAAGUAGAGAAGGACUCGAUUUCUGAAUAAUCAAGUUGAACUUUUGCUAGUCAGGUUAGAGACCUUAUGAGAUCUAUCCUUUUGUUGCAGUUUUCCAAGAAUCGGUAACGAUUCAAUUCCAAUGAUAUCCAGUGUCGUAGUGUGCGUACGGUCAUAUGGCAUUGGGAAAGCUCAUAUGUGGCGUUCCUUGCCUGAUUGGUUGUGUUGAAGGAAUGAGAGUGAGAUGUGUGGAAAAAUUGUGAGAUGAAAAAAAUUAUUUGUUAUUAGAAUUGAGAAAAUCAAGUAUUGUAAGUUGCGUGUCUGACCUUUGCCAUGGCGGGUGCGCUCCCAUGGCAGGUCAAAAAGUGUAAUAAAAUUCGUGUCUUUUUGGUUUUGGGGGGGGUGAGGAGAUGGCACGGGAUAUUAAUAAAUUAUUUUUGCCCGGCUCUCCCUAUCUCCCAUCUGUCUACCUGUGUACUUUUUUCUUUUUUUAAUUCUUAUAUUUAUUUUCUGACGACUAAUAUAAAUUAUAUACUGACGUAAAUUAUAUAAUUUACGAUUCUAACCUUUGUCAUGGCGGGUCCCCUGGCAUAACAGGUCAAAAAAUGCAAUAAAAUUCACCCUAUUUUUAGUUUUGAGGGGAUUGGGAGAUGCGACGGGAUAUUGAGAUACUAUUUCGGCUCGGGUCUCCCUAUCUCCCAUUUGUCUACAUGCAUACUUUUUUAUUUUCGCUACCUCUUAUAUUUAUUUUCUGACCAAUUGUAUAAAUUAUAUAUUUAGAUAAAUUAAAUAAUUUAUGUGUGUGACCUUCGCUAUGAUGGGUGCGCUAGCAUCGCAAGUCAGCCAUACAAAUGCAAUAAAAUUAACGUUUUUUUUAAUUUUGAGGGGGUUGGGAGAUGACAAGGGAUAUUAGUACAUUAUUUUUGCUUGGCUUUCCCUAUCUCCGAUUUUUGUGUAUGUAUAUUUUUAUCUCUUUCCUAACUUUUAUAUUUAUUUUUUGACUAAUUGUGUAAAUUAUGUGUUUAUAUAAAUUAUAUAAUUUAAAUUUUUGGCAUUUGCCAUGACGGAUGCGCUCGCAUGGCAAGUUAAAAAGUGCAAUAAAAUUCAUGUUUUUUUUUUUUGGUUUUGCGGGGAUUGGGGGGUGGUAUAGGAUAUUAAUAUAUUAUUUUGGCUCGACUCUCCUUUCUCCUAUUUGUCUGCCUGUGUACUUUUUUCUCUUUCUUAUUUUUUAUCUUUAUUUUCUAACCAAUAGUAUAAAUUGUGUACUUAUGUAAAUUAUAUGAUUUACGUGUUUGACCUUUGCCAUGGCAGGUGUGAUUGCAUGGCAGGUCAAAAAGCGUAAUAAAUCUCACGUUUUUCUUUUGGUUUUGGGGGGAUUGCGAGACGGGACAGGAUAUUAAUAUAUAAAUUGGCUUGGCACGGGAUAUUAAAAUAUUAUUUUGGUCAACUCUUACUAUCUCCGAUUUUUCUGUGUAAUUUUUUUUCUGCCCUAAUUUUUAUAUCUGUUUGGGACCAAUAGUAUAAAUUAUAUAUUUACGUAAAUUAUGUAAUUUACGUGUUUGACCUUUGCCAUGGUGGGUGCGCUCACAUGGCAGGUCAAAAAGUGCGAUAAAACUCACGUUCUUUUUUAUUUUGGGGGAAUGAAGAGAUCGGACGGGAUAUUAAUAUCUAAAUUGGCCCGGGUCUCCCUAGCUCCCAUUUGUUUGCCUGUGUACUUUUUUCUUUUUGCUAUCUCUUAUAUUUAUUUUCUGACCAAUGGUAUAAAUUAUAUAUUUACGUAAAUUAUAUAAUUUAAUUUGUAAUGUAUCAGAGUCUCUGGUCACUUUGCUCAGGUAGGGAGGGAAGGAGGUAGGUGCUUCUCCUUCGACAUUACGUUCAAGUUAGCUAUGCAUGAAUUUGGAAAGACUGGAAAAUGGUUCAGGGUUUUAUGGAUAACCUUUUUCCUGUUAAAAAAAAUUCCGAAGAACCAUGUCAUUUUCCUUGCUUUGAAGUGGUGCAAGAGAAAAAGAAAACCCAUAAAAGACCUAGGCAUGCUACAAAGUGGAAGACACGGUAUUUGAACAAAUGUGUAGAGAUUUAACUGAUUUUUCAACUUAUGGAUUCAUAUCUGCAGAUAAAAAAAUUCAGAAACAACAAUGGCCACUUUUAUUUUGUUCCUUUUGGUGUCAAGUAGUUACUUGCAGUAUGUUGUUUUUGGAAUUCCGUUAUGAUGGAUUUGAUGCUGCAUUUUCAUUACGGUAGUUCUGCUGUUUUCAUGAUUCAUAUGAAUCCCAAAUAAUAUUUGUUUACAUCAAGUUCUGAUUUCAGUUUUGGUUUCUCGACAUUUCAGGCCUCGUAUUACAUCAGAAGGCCUGCAAAGGUGAUAUUAUAACAUUCCGAGCUCCUUUACGGCUUCUUGAUAUGGUUGGAGUUUUUCUAAUCUGCCAAGAGUUAUGAUAAUAAAUUCUAUUAUGAGACUCCGCUAAUAAAGUAAGGAGGAGCUCUUUUGGGUUCUGAUCUUGCUUGGUUCUUUUUUUUUUUGUCAUGAGUUUCUCAGCUAACUCAAGGAGAUGCUCGUUUGGGCAAUAUCAUAUGAUCAGUUGCCUGAGUGGAAAAAGUUUCAAGAAAAAGUUUGAUUUGAUUGUAAGUUAUGGGUUUCCGGAGAAAUUAAAGUGUGAUUAUGUUUAGAGGGUUAGCUUCUUCUUAUGACCUCCAAGGAGAAGUUGAAGACAGAAAUCCAAUUCUUCUUGAACAUAAUUGGGUUUGAGAAGGAAAUUUUAGCUGAGAACCUGUCUGCUUGGCGUAC